rnacentral:rRNA from 1 species
AUUGAACGCUGGCGGCAGGCCUAACACAUGCAAGUCGAGCGGAUGAAGGGAGCUUGCUCCUGGAUUCAGCGGCGGACGGGUGAGUAAUGCCUAGGAAUCUGCCUGGUAGUGGGGGAUAACGUCCGGAAACGGGCGCUAAUACCGCAUACGUCCUGAGGGAGAAAGUGGGGGAUCUUCGGACCUCACGCUAUCAGAUGAGCCUAGGUCGGAUUAGCUAGUUGGUGGGGUAAAGGCCUACCAAGGCUACGAUCCGUAACUGGUCUGAGAGGAUGAUCAGUCACACUGGAACUGAGACACGGUCCAGACUCCUACGGGAGGCAGCAGUGGGGAAUAUUGGACAAUGGGCGAAAGCCUGAUCCAGCCAAGCCGCGUGUGUGAAGAAGGUCUUCGGAUUGUAAAGCACUUUAAGUUGGGAGGAAGGGCAGUAAGUUAAUACCUUGCUGUUUUGACGUUACCAACAGAAUAAGCACCGGCUAACUUCGUG